GGUGGCACUUUUAAGAGAGCAUCAGCUGCGGUAGUAGAAGGGGGAUACAGGCUUGCCCUAAGUUGGCCAGGGUAAAUAUUCAGUCGUCUCAGGUAAUAGGUGAGGCCAUAGAGCUCCCACAAGUUUAUAUCUUUUGUCUCUGGUUACCAGGAAGGGUAGAGAAAACCAUCAGGUGGGGGCAGGGUUAGGCAGGUCUCAGCCUAGACUCUCCUUGGGCUUGCAGUGGCCACUUUGAGGGAUAUGGGGUGUGUCUCAGGCCAAUGGAGUUAUGUUCCAUGGGAGAUUAUGGCUGCCUCUGCUGCUUCCUACAGGUUGCCAGGUUCUCCAGGGCCGAUGUAUGUUUGGAGAUGGAUUUCCCCCUCUCACACUUCAGGCACUCAGUUUUUUGGCAGUCUCAUGGAGUUUUCAGUGGCAAGCCGCUUAUUUCAAAUGGGAUUUGGAAAGGAUUCCGUGAUGGUUAAUAUUGAGUGUCAACUUGAUUGGAUUGAAGGAUGCAAAGUAUUGUUCCUGGGUGUGUCUGUGAGGGUGUCACCAAAGGAGAUGAACAUUUGAAUCAGUGAGCUGGGAGACACAAACCCAUACUCAAUCUUGGGGGACACCAUCUAAUCAGCUGCCAGUGCAACUAGGAUAAAAUCAGGCAGAGAAAUUUGGAAAGACUAGACUGGCUGAGUCUUCUGGCCUUCAUCUUUCUCCCAUGCUAGAUGCUUCCUGACCUCGAAUAUCAGACUCCAAGUUCUUUAGCUUUUGGACUCUUGGACCUUUGGCCACAGACGGAAGGCUGCACUUUUGAAGUUUUGGGACUUGGACUGGCUUCCUUGCUCCUCAGCUUACAGAUGGCCUAUUGUGGGACUUCACCUUGUGAUUGUGUAAGUCAAUACUCCUUAAUAAACUCUGCUUUAUAUAU
ensembl:lncRNA LINC00989 long intergenic non-protein coding RNA 989